AUGUAUAGGACCAAUUGGGGUAUUGGCCAUGGACGUAAAGAUAUUUUAGAGGCUCACAAGGGCCCAUUUACAGGACAAGGCCAUAAGGGUUUUCAUAGUUUUGGCUUGUACAUUCAUAAUGAUACCAUGAGUGCUUUAGGCCGUCCACAAGAUAUGUUUUCGGAUACUGCCAUACAAUUACAACCUAUCUUUGCUCAAUGGGUACGAAAUAUCCAUGCUACUUCGCCUGGCGUAACAGCUCCUGGUGCAACAACAAGUACUAGCUUAACGUGGGGAGGCGGCGAGUUAGUAGCAGUAGGUGGCAAAGUGGCUUUGUUACCUAUUCCAUUAGGAACCACAGAUUUUUUAGUCCAUCACAUUCAUGCAUUUACCAUACAUGUGACUGUAUUAAUACUUUUGAAAGGUGUUUUAUUUGCUCAGAGUUCCUGUUUGAUACCCGAUAAAGCAAAUCUAGGUUUUCGCUUUCCUUGCGAUGGGCCUGGCCGAGGGGGAACAUGUCAAGUAUCCGCCUGGGAUCAUGUUUUCUUAGGCUUAUUCUGGAUGUACAAUGCAAUUUCGGUAGUCAUUUUCCAUUUCAGUUGGAAAAUGCAGUCGGAUGUUUGGGGUACUAUAAGUGAUCAAGGGGUGGUAACUCAUAUUACAGGGGGAAACUUUGCACAGAGUUCCAUUACGAUUAAUGGGUGGCUUCGAUAUUUCAUGUGGGCACAGGCAUCGCAAGUCAUUCAGUCUUAUGGUUCUUCAUUAUUUGCAUAUGGUCUUUCUUUCUUAGGUGCUCAUUUUGUCUGGGCCUUCAGUUUAAUGUUUUUAUUCAGCGGCCGUGGUUAUUGGCAAGAACUCAUUGAAUCUAUCGUUUGGGCUCAUAACAAAUUCAAAGUUGCUCCUGCUACUCAGCCUAGAGCCUUGAGCAUUAUACAAGGACAUGAUGUAGGAGUAACCCAUUACCUUCUGGGUGGACUUGCCACGACAUGGGCAUUCUUCUUAGCGAGAAUUAUUGCAGUAGGAUAG
rnacentral:rRNA from 1 species